UACAGAGACUGCAAGCGUUAUUCGGAUUCACUGGGCGUAAAGGGUGGGCAGGCGGCCAAGUGUGUGAGGCGUGAAAGCCCGGGGCUUAACCCCGGAAUUGCACCUCAAACUACAUGGCUAGAGCAUUGGAGAGGGUAGCGGAAUUCACGGUGUAGCAGUGAAAUGCGUAGAUAUCGUGAGGAACACCAGAGGCGAAGGCGGCUACCUGGACAAUUGCUGACGCUCAGGCACGAAAGCUAGGGUAGCAAACGGG
rnacentral:rRNA from 1 species